AAGACAAAAAAAAACUAAAGAAAGAUUGCUACACGGAGAAAGGAGAAAGGGAGACCGAGAGAAAAGUGAGACAGAAAAAUAGAGAGGCAGAGAACGGAGAAGGAGAGAGAGAUCGAGAGAUCAAAAACUGCAGUUUGCAAUCAAGAAUGAAAAGAUGUCUCUCACUUCCUGUUAGAUUUUCUGCCAUCACCGUAAGCCUCCACUCGCUACCCGACCAUCGGAAUCACUACUGAUUGGUAUUUUGGGUCAGAUUUGGUUUUGAUUAAGGGAAGGAGACAAAAAAAAAAAGUUUGCGGCACAAUGGAGAUUCGACUGAAACUGAAAGGUCAAGAAGGAUUCCCCAAAUUUUCUUUUGUUGGAUUUAUAUUUUGGGUUAGAAUCCAAUCCUACUUUUAAUUUUGAUUUUAGGUUUUUGAAUGUUUUGGUAGAUAUUUAGAUUCCAAAAACAGCGAUUGAUAGAGAUCAUAAGGCAGAGAGAGAAACAUUUGAGGACUGCCAUUACCGCCAUUCUGGCCUUCCACAAUCAUGAUUCAUCCGGUCUCUCGCUGACUUGCUAUCAACAAGUUUCGAUUUUGUAAAACAUUUUUUACUUUUUGAGAAAGAAAUUGGCAUUAAAUAUUAUUUAGGCUUGGGAUUGUUUUUGCUAUACGUAUUUGGCUGAGAUUAAGGUAUUUUCAUUAUUUUGCUUUGAUUGUUUUUGCUUAAACCUUAUGACUGACUACCUUUUGCUGUUUACAUAUAAAGAAACCGAAACAUUUAGAAUCAACAUUAAGAGAAAGUUGGUAUCUGUAAGUCACGCACAAAGACGAAGAGAUGGACAGCGAGAAAGAGGAAACAGAGUAUUCCCACCCAUUGGCAGGUAACUAUUGACUGUCAUUCACAUGGGCAACAAAGCUCUACAUCAACUUUGACAUUUCAAACAAAGCUCUACAUCAACUUUGACAUUUCAAAAGUCACAAAGGAAAUUAUGCCAAAAGGACCUUCUAAAGGAUUGGAUGGAUAACUUUCUUACAUAAUAGAAAAAUAGUUGCUAAAAUAGAAGACUUGGAUGCAUAAAAAAUGUUUAAGAAUUAUGCACCAAGUUCUAUUCCUUAUACUCUUUUCUUAUUUACUUAGUUUUCUGUUUUAUUUCAGAUUAUGAGAGAUUUAAAUUUCUGUAUUUAGGCUAUGGUUUUGUAAUCUAAGCAUCCUAAGAUUCUUAUAUCAACAUGAAUUUAAGUUUUGUAAUAUAUGUGAUUCUUUUU